rnacentral:rRNA from 1 species
UACGAAGGGGGCUAGCGUUGCUCGGAAUCACUGGGCGUAAAGCGCACGUAGGCGGCUUGUUAAGUCAGGGGUGAAAUCCUGGAGCUCAACUCCAGAACUGCCUUUGAUACUGGCGAGCUUGAGUCCGGGAGAGGUGAGUGGAACUGCGAGUGUAGAGGUGAAAUUCGUAGAUAUUCGCAAGAACACCAGUGGCGAAGGCGGCAUCCUGGACCGGCAUUGACGCUGAGGCGCGAAAGCUAGGGGAGCAAACGGG